CUACCACGCCUACGAUGUCGAAGCUCUUGGUCUCUUCAAAGGCAAUUUGGUCUCUGAGAUUUUAAGAACAAUAUUUGCUUCCAUUUUUUACAUAAACUUUGUAGUGAACCCAUUAAUUUAUGUCGUACGUUUGCCAAACUAUCGGAAAACAUUUUAUUUGCUGUAUUGCAAAAGAGGGUCUUGACAUUGAAAAGCAGGGGUAUAACUAUAAUUCCAUGCCUAAAUGCUAAAUGUUGCAACAACCUUCCCAGCGAUCUUAAGAGUAAAACUUACUGUAAGUUUAAAUACGUUUCGAGAUAUUCUUGAGGGUACAAGGUAGUUUGCAUGUAUACUUUCCUUAUUUAGUAUAUUCUUGUAAAUACAAUGAUAUGGUAUAGUAAUACUAAUAGUUUGUACUUAGAUAGAUGCACGAUUUCAGCGGCGGUCACUUGGCAAACAGUUUGUUACUAACUGCAUGAUAGGCUACAGUUGGUAAAUAUUUUUAAAUAUUAAAUGCCUAGCUAGGAUUUGGGAUUAGACUGUUGUUAUUGUUUUUUAUCAUCAUUUG
rnacentral:lncRNA from 1 species